rnacentral:rRNA from 1 species
AUUGAACGCUGGCGGCAUGCCUUACACAUGCAAGUCGAACGGUAACGGGCCUUCGGGUGCCGACGAGUGGCGCACGGGUGAGUAAUACAUCGGAACGUGCCCGAUCGUGGGGGAUAACGAGGCGAAAGCUUUGCUAAUACCGCAUACGAUCUACGGAUGAAAGCAGGGGACCGCAAGGCCUUGCGCGGACGGAGCGGCCGAUGGCAGAUUAGGUAGUUGGUGGGAUAAAAGCUUACCAAGCCGACGAUCUGUAGCUGGCCUGAGAGGAUGAUCAGCCACACUGGAACUGAGACACGGUCCAGACUCCUACGGGAGGCAGCAGUAGGGAAUCUUGGACAAUGGGCGCAAGCCUGACCCAGCCAUGCCGCGUGCGUGAUGAAGGUCUUCGGGUCGUAAACUGCUGUUGUACGGAACGAAAAGCCGUGUAUGAAAACAGGCGGGUCAUGACGGUACCGAAAGAAAAAGCACCGGCUAACUACGUG